UACGUAGGGUGCGAGCGUUGUCCGGAAUUAUUGGGCGUAAAGAGCUCGUAGGCGGUGUGUCACGUCAGCCGUGAAAACCUGCAGCUUAACUGUGGGCGUGCGGUCGAUACGGGCAUCACUGGAGUUCGGCAGGGGAGACUGGAAUUCCUGGUGUAGCGGUGAAAUGCGCAGAUAUCAGGAAGAACACCGACGGCGAAGGCAGCUCGCUGGGACGGUACUGACGCUGAGGCGCGAAAGCGUGGGGAGCGAACAGG
rnacentral:rRNA from 1 species